rnacentral:rRNA from 1 species
CAACCUGCCUAUAACUAGGGAAUAACCUUGCGAAAGUAAGACUAAUACCCUAUGAUUUCCUUUGAUGACAUCAGAUUAGGAAUAAAGAUUUAUCGGUUAUAGAUGGGGAUGCGUCUGAUUAGCUUGUUGGCGGGGUAACGGCCCACCAAGGCGACGAUCAGUAGGGGUUCUGAGAGGAAGGUCCCCCACAUUGGAACUGAGACACGGUCCAAACUCCUACGGGAGGCAGCAGUGAGGAAUAUUGGUCAAUGGGCGGAAGCCUGAACCAGCCAAGUAGCGUGCAGGAUGACGGCCCUAUGGGUUGUAAACUGCUUUUAUACAGGAAUAAAGUUAGCCACGUGUGGUUAUUUGUAGGUACUGUAUGAAUAAGGACCGGCUAAUUCCGUGCCAGCAGCCGCGGUAAUACGGAAGGUCCAGGCGUUAUCCGGAUUUAUUGGGUUUAAAGGGAGCGUAGGCCGUCUGUUAAGCGUGUUGUGAAAUGUAGAUGCUCAACAUCUGAAUUGCAGCGCGAACUGGCAGACUUGAGUGUGCGCAACGUAGGCGGAAUUCGUGGUGUAGCGGUGAAAUGCUUAGAUAUCACGAAGAACUCCGAUUG